rnacentral:rRNA from 1 species
UGGGGAAUAUUGCACAAUGGGGGGAACCCUGAUGCAGCGACGCCGCGUGAGUGAAGAAGUAUUUCGGUAUGUAAAGCUCUAUCAGCAGGGAAGAAGAAAAUGACGGUACCUGACUAAGAAGCACCGGCUAAAUACGUGCC